AUUGUAAUAAAUAUACAUGCGUUAACAUUAAAACAAAAAAAAAAUAUACAUGCGUUACAACGUAAAAGACAAAAGAUAAUGUUGUUGGUCCAAAAAGCAUAAUUUGAUUAAGCUUGACUUUGUAGUAGACAGACACGAAAGACUAAGAGUAUAUAAUAAACCCCAUGAGAUAAAUAAUUGAAUCGAAUUUUUCCGGUCUUCAUACCAUACCGGUAGAUUUUUGCCGCGAACCGACCGGUUUAAUCGACGCAAAUUUUAUUUUUAAUUAUUAUUAUUAGAUUUUUUUUUUAAGGCAACCAGCGAGUUAACCGCCCGACAAAGAGGAGGAGCCGCCGCGUCUGUCGGAAGAAGAACGAGGAAGCCCGAUUCAGAGAUUGCGUUUCUUCUCCUCAGGUUCUUUGUUAAUUUGUGCUCUAAAUUGUUGCUGUCUCGCUUUGUUCUCGAACAAUUGCUUAAGUUGAAUCGUUCCAGUGCCAACUUUCGAGGACUAGAAGAAAUAAAGAUUUGGAUUUUUUUUUUUUAGACACUGGGAUGAUGAUUCUUGAUUAUUAGUUGCAUUGUCCCUGAUCCAACAUAAACGAUUGCAGAAACAUUGAUGAUUAAUGAGUGUCUCUUUUGUUUACUCUUCUCUUGCUCUGUAGCAGAAUGGAAGAAGAAAAAUCGUUACCCUUUUUGUCUCUAGACUGUGAACUUGAUGAAGUUCCAGAUGAUAGCAGAGAAAGACACUGCUCUACUCAUAGCAUUCUCUCACAGCUUUCAGGGAACAAUAGUUGAAAACAUUUACGGAAUAUAAGCUUCUGGAAAGACAAACUCUCCCUAUCAAAAUCUUGGAGGUUCUUGAUGCCGUCGUUGAAUUCUGAACGAACCAGUGUGAGAGAGAAGAAAUGUAUUUGGAAUUCUCCCGACAAAAACCAGUUGAGCUUUUCCUCAUCCUCGGUGUCCCUAUGAAGCAACGUGGAAGGAACAUAUAUACAAGCACUGAGCGCUAAAAGGAGGAUCAGAGAAGACAUGCCUAAGCUAGUUGAUGUUAUAUGAUUUCAAAGGCAUUGUUAUCUCCAUCAUGUGCUGCAGAAUUUCUACAGAUAUGUCGGGGAGCCUUACAAUCGUCAACGAGCCACCCGGCAUCUAGAUAAGGGAAGAGUGGUAAUAUUUGGUGGCGUCGGUGCAACGCUUGGAAAAUCCACUCUUAUCAUCUGAUGCAUCUGCAGCCCUUUGAGCUAUAGACAACAGUAAAACUCUCUUACUCCCUCUUAGUGUUGUUUCUUACCGCACCAACUUAAACUAACUUAGAAUUCAUAUACUUCUCUUUCCCAUUAGUAACUGGUCCUUAGAGCUAACCUAAGAUCUCUUGUA